UGGGGAAUUUUUGGACAAUGGGCGAAAGCCUGAUCCAGCAAUGCCGCGUGUGUGAAGAAGGCCUUCGGGUUGUAAAGCACUUUUGUCCGGAAAGAAAUCCUUGGCUCUAAUACAGUCGGGGGAUGACGGUACCGGAAGAAUAAGCACCGGCUAACUACGUGCCAGCAGCCGCGGUAAUACGUAGGGUGCAAGCGUUAAUCGGAAUUACUGGGCGUAAAGCGUGCGCAGGCGGUUUGCUAAGACCGAUGUGAAAUCCCCGGGCUCAACCUGGGAACUGCAUUGGUGACUGGCAGGCUAGAGUAUGGCAGAGGGGGGUAGAAUUCCACGUGUAGCAGUGAAAUGCGUAGAGAUGUGGAGGAAUACCGAUGGCGAAGGCAGCCCCCUGGGCCAAUACUGACGCUCAUGCACGAAAGCGUGGGGAGCAAACAGGAUUAGAUACCCUGGUAGUCCACGCCCUAAACGAUGUCAACUAGUUGUUGGGGAUUCAUUUCCUUAGUAACGUAGCUAACGCGUGAAGUUGACCGCCUGGGGAGUAC
rnacentral:rRNA from 1 species